ensembl:misc_RNA Metazoa_SRP Metazoan signal recognition particle RNA
GCCAGGUGUGGUGGCGCACGCCUGUAAUCCCAGCUACUCAGGAGGCUGAGGCAGGAGAAUCGCUUGAACCCAGGAGGCUGAGGCUGCAGUGAGCCGAGACCACACCACUGCACUCCAGCCUGGGUGACAGAGCGAGACUCUGUCUCAA